AAUAAUUCUCAGGGCGGGGUGCAACUCCCCACCGGCGGUAAAUUAUGCUGCGUAUAUUAAUCACAGUAUAAAAGCCCGCGAGCGCCUAGUUUACGCUAUUAAAUAUCAAUAGCUGCGAAUAUUAACUAGGGUCAGCAGAUCUGGUAAACAGACCUUAUCAAAGACGCUCGUCAUACGUAAGGUUGUACCUACUCCAGAGCCGACGGUAAUGAGUACUGACUAACCAAGUGAGUACACUGAGUCCGGAUGAAAGAGAAUAUAA
rnacentral:ncRNA from 2 species